rnacentral:misc_RNA from 1 species
CAGAGUUUUCUAACUCCCAAACCCAUGUGAACUUACCAUUGUUGCCUCGGCGGAGCCUACCCUGUAGCUACCCUGUAGGGUGGUUACCCUGUAGCGCCCCGCCGGCGGAUUUUCAAACUCUUGUUUUCAGUUGUAUCUCUGAGAAUAAAACAAAUAAGUCA